rnacentral:rRNA from 1 species
UUAGAGGAAGUAAAAGUCGUAACAAGGUCUCCGUUGGUGAACCAGCGGAG